rnacentral:lncRNA from 1 species
AUUAUUAUGUUUAUGAAAUCAUGUUAUGAAAUUAUGCUAGAGACUGGCAAUCAGGAUCAAAGAACUUUUAGUUCAUCAGUUGCCCCCGGUGUAGACACCAAUAGCAACUGGGUAGUAGGAAUCCACUGAGACGAAGUGACUGUUCUCAUCCCCUACUUAUUUGUUUUCAGAUAAACAGGUUGAUCGAGAUAUCAUGGUCUGCAAGCAUGGAG